AUUGAACGCUGGCGGCAGGCUUAACACAUGCAAGUCGAGCGGGGUGAGGUGCUUCGGUACUGAUCCUAGCGGCGGACGGGUGAGUAAUGCUUAGGAAUCUGCCUAUUAGUGGGGGACAACAUUCCGAAAGGAAUGCUAAUACCGCAUACGUCCUACGGGAGAAAGCAGGGGAUCUUCGGACCUUGCGCUAAUAGAUGAGCCUAAGUCGGAUUAGCUAGUUGGUGGGGUAAAGGCCUACCAAGGCGACGAUCUGUAGCGGGUCUGAGAGGAUGAUCCGCCACACUGGGACUGAGACACGUCCCAGGCUCCUCCGGGAGGCAGCAGUGGGGAAUAUUGGACAAUGGGCGGAAGCCUGAUCCAGCCAUGCCGCGUGUGUGAAGAAGGCCUUUUGGUUGUACAGCACUUUAAGCGAGGAGGAGGCUACCUAGAUUAAUACUCUGGGAUAGUGGACGUUACUCGCAGAAUAAGCACCGGCUAACUCUGUGCCAGCAGCCGCCGUAACAC
rnacentral:rRNA from 1 species